GUUUGAUCCUGGCUCAGGAUGAACGCUAGCGGGAGGCUUAACACAUGCAAGCCGAGGGGUAGAGUUAGCUUGCUAACUUGAGACCGGCGCACGGGUGCGUAACGCGUAUGCAACUUGCCCUACUGAAGAGGAUAGCCCAGAGAAAUUUGGAUUAAUACUUUAUAAUAUAUUGAAUGGCAUCAUUUAGUAUUGAAAGAUUUAUCGCAGUAGGAUAGGCAUGCGUAAGAUUAGUUAGUUGGUAAGGUAACGGCUUACCAAGACGAUGAUCUUUAGGGGGCCUGAGAGGGUGAACCCCUACACUGGUACUGAGACACGGACCAGACUCCUACGGGAGGCAGCAGUGAGGAAUAUUGGACAAUGGGUGGAAGCCCGAUCCAGCCAUCCCGCGUGUAGGAUGACGGCCUUAUGGGUUGUAAACUACUUUUAUCUGGGGAUAAACCUACUUACGUGUAAGUAGCUGAAGGUACCAGAAGAAUAAGCACCGGCUAACUCCGUG
rnacentral:rRNA from 1 species